rnacentral:lncRNA from 1 species
GUGUUACCUGCCCCGUGUUACCUGCCCCGUGUUACCUGCCCCGUGUUACCUGCCCCGUGUUUACUUGUGGUUCGCUCCUGAGAUGAAUAUCUGUCUCUGAAGCUGCACCGUGUUCACCAGCUGGUCUCCAACUGUGUCCGUCUGCUGUUUGAUGACAUUGAGACGCUGUGGAGGCGGAGCCGGCGCUAAUCAAAACUGCAGGGCAACUCUUUGCAAGAUCCAAGGGUUUCUCUGAGGAACAGAAGCCUGGAAUGGAGGCGAGGUGACCUCAGAUGAAACUAGCUCAACCCCCAACCGGUUACACUCGCUCAGGGCGACGAAGCUGCAGCCAGGCAGAGACAGCGAGGAGGCAAAAGGAACUAACUUCAAGGACAACACGGAUAAAGUGCACAAAGGCUCCUAUAAUAAUCUACAACCUUCUUCUGCCUGAAUCUGGACGACACAACUGGUGGAAAGAAGACAAGAGAAAAUGAAGAGAUGGACAUUUCUGCUCUGCGUUUUCUCUCUUAUUUGCAUUUUUAUCGGCCAUUUGAGGGCUGGUGAUGAACUGACUUUAGACUUGAUAUUGAGCCGCUGUAUAUUCUCUUUACUAUGAACUUGUGCACAUCUUAGCAAUAUGUUUGCACAUCCUGCACUGAACUGUUGUUAUAAUAUAUUUUUCUAUUCUAUAUUUAUGUUCUUGACUUCCCCUGUAUCUUCAAAUCCUCUUAAUACGUUUAUUGAAAGAUCCAAACACCAAAGGCAAAUACCAUGUAAGUGAAAAUGAUGUACACGCUUUUAAA